UCCCAUGGAACUACCGCAAUAUAUGCACCAUCCUUACCUUGACCCAUCAUUUAAUUACAUCCAGAAAAGAAAAAGAAAGAAAAGGAUCAGAGGAAGAGAAAAGGAAAAUGGAAAGGAACACAUCAGAGGAAGAGAAAAGGAAAAUGGAAAGGAACACAUCAUCAUAGACUCAAUAGUUUCACUUAUCAAUCACUGUUUCCAUCAUCUAUCGAUUAUUUGGACUUGAAAGGAAUGGCUCUGAUC
rnacentral:lncRNA from 1 species